rnacentral:rRNA from 1 species
GCAGUCGACGGUAACAGGAAGCAGCUUGCUGUUUCGCUGACGAGUGGCGGACGGGUGAGUAAUGUCUGGGAAACUGCCUGAUGGAGGGGGAUAACUACUGGAAACGGUAGCUAAUACCGCAUAACCUCGCAAGACCAAAGGGGGGGACCUUCGGGCCUCUUGCCAUCGGAUGUGCCCAGAUGGGACUAGCUAGUAGGUGGGGUAACGGCUCACCUAGGCGACGAUCCCUAGCUGGUCUGAGAGGAUGACCAGCCACACUGGAACUGAGACACGGUCCAGACUCCUACGGGAGGCAGCAGUGGGGAAUAUUGCACAAUGGGCGCAAGCCUGAUGCAGCCAUGCCGCGUGUAUGAAGAAGGCCUUCGGGUUGUAAAGUACUUUCAGCGGGGAGGAAGGGAGUAAAGUUAAUACCUUUGCUCAUUGACGUUACCCGCAGAAGAAGCACCGGCUAACUCCGUGCCAGCAGCCGCGGUAAUACGGAGGGUGCAAGCGUUAAUCGGAAUUACUGGGCGUAAAGCGCACGCAGGCGGUUUGUUAAGUCAGAUGUGAAAUCCCCGGGCUCAACCUGGGAACUGCAUCUGAUACUGGCAAGCUUGAGUCUCGUAGAGGGGGGUAGAAUUCCAGGUGUAGCGGUGGAAUGCGUAGAGAUCUGGAGGAAUACCGGUGGCGAAGGCGGCCCCCUGGACGAAGACUGACGCUCAGGUGCGAAAGCGU